UCCUGCCUGUCCCGCCUGCCCACUGCAACGCUGACCCCUGCAGGCCUGCUGAGGCCCUGCCCAGCCUGGGGACAGGCCAUCAGAGAGACAGACUAAGGAGGCAGGCGAGGCCAGCUUUGGGAUGCAGAGGCUAAAGGAUGGGAGAGAGAGGACAGAGGAGGCUGAAGGUACAGGGUAGAGGUGGCUGGGAAGGCUGGAGUAGGAUCUCAUGGGUGUGCAUGGGAAGGAACAGGUCUGCAUUCUCCAUCUGCCUCCUGUUCUCUUCCAUGGCCCCUUUCUUUAUAAUAACAGGAGUAACAGUGCCCGGGGCCAGGGACCAGGUGGGAAGGGAAGAGCACUCAUCAGGUAAAGUCUUAGUCUUAGGAUGAGCCCUAUGGGGACCUGCAGAGUGAGCGAGCAAAGGGAGAGAGAAUACCAUAGGAACCCUUCUGGAACUGGCCCGGGGCUUGAUGAGCAGGAGAGCAUAAGCCCAGUGCCCACACAAGAGAGAAGAAAACCUCACCAGCUUCCUUCACAGUCAGAGCCAACCUUGCCACAGGCAUUGGCGGACCCUGGAGUUUUCAAGGGGCAAGAUAGAGAGACGCUGUAAACUCUCCAUUCUCAUGUUUUGCUUGUUGAAGAAAUCAUUUCAGAAGUCUAACCUCAAACCAUCUUGCUACAUUUGAAGGCUACUCUCUUCUGCUGGAGCAUCCUGAGAGCCCAGCCAGCUGGGAGUUCCUGCCUUCUAAGCACUCAAAAGGACAAGGCAGAGGCAGGAAAUGGAGUCUGCAGGAGAACUCAGGUCCUUGGACAAAGAACCCAGGAGACUGUGAAUUACCCCCACCCUGCUCUCAGGCUCUGACUCUUCUUAGAAGAGGUCCUGUGCCUCUGGAGGAGGGACUUCAGGAGAGGCCCUUUCCUUCCAUGACGCUACCGCCGGGUGGGCCCCUGUGUCCUGGAUUCCAUGACGUGGCAGGAAGCGUUCAUAGCACCUAAUUCCCCAAGGGCUGGCUUGCUGCAUGCCUUGGACCCCUCAGGCCUGUUUCCCAUCUGGCACAGUCAUUGAAAUCAGGUGUCCUGGGCCAGCUGCAGGCUGAGAGUAGGAGCAGAGAGGGACAUUUUGUCCCUCUGGAGCAGACGCCAGGCCUCUACUCUCCCAAACAGGGCCCCCGAGGCCACCUGGCUGUGUUGCUAGGCCACGGCAUGGAGGCAGGGCUCCUGGGUCUGCCAGCAUCUUCCCUGACAUGAUCUCCAUACUGCUGUUUC